AAGAUGAUGAAGAAGAGACACUUUGGAUGAAGGCAGUAACAGUAGGGUGCAGUGAGAUUGACGGAUUUCACUUUCCAAUGAUUUCAUGCAGUGAUGCUGAAUCAAUACAACAGAAUGAUCUGUUGUUACUUUCAAAUAAGGAGUUUGGAGAUGGUAAGAGACUCCCAACUGCAUAUGCGUUUGCAUUGGUUGAGGAUCGUCGACCAGACAAAAUAAGACUUCGGAUGCACCUUAGCGGAGAGGUCAAACAAUUGAAUACACAGGAAAUUGAAGCUUGCUCUAGGCUUUUGAGUAUGCGUCCUCUUGUUACAGAAAAUGCGAAGCUUUUGCAUGUUCUCAAGAUAUGCAGUUUAUCAACGAUAGCCCGUGAAUAUGUUGCUCUGCGAA
rnacentral:misc_RNA from 1 species